rnacentral:rRNA from 1 species
GACGAACGCUGGCGGCGUGCUUAACACAUGCAAGUCGAACGGAAAGGCCCUGCUUUUGUGGGGUGCUCGAGUGGCGAACGGGUGAGUAACACGUGAGUAACCUGCCCUUGACUUUGGGAUAACUUCAGGAAACUUGGGCUAAUACCGGAUAGGAGCUCCUGCUGCAUGGUGGGGGUUGGAAAGUUUCGGCGGUUGGGGAUGGACUCGCGGCUUAUCAGCUUGUUGGUGGGGUAGUGGCUUACCAAGGCUUUGACGGGUAGCCGGCCUGAGAGUGUGACCGGCCACAUUGGGACUGAGAUACGGCCCAGACUCCUACGGGAGGCAGCAGUGGGGAAUAUUGCACAAUGGGCGGAAGCCUGAUGCAGCAACGCCGCGUGCGGGAUGACGGCCUUCGGGUUGUAAACCGCUUUCGCCUGUGACGAAGCGUGAGUGACGGUAAUGGGUAAAGAAGCACCGGCUAACUACGUG